GAUGAACGCUGGCGGCGUGCCUAAUACAUGCAAGUCGAGCGAACGGACGAGAAGCUUGCUUCUCUGAUGUUAGCGGCGGACGGGUGAGUAACACGUGGAUAACCUACCUAUAAGACUGGGAUAACAUCGGGAAACCGGAGCUAAUACCGGAUAAUAUUUUGAACCGCAUGGUUCAAAAGUGAAAGACGGUCUUGCUGUCACUUAUAGAUGGAGCCGCGCUGCAUUAGCUAGUUGGUAAGGUAACGGCUUACCAAGGCAACGAUGCAUAGCCGACCUGAGAGGGUGAUCGGCCACACUGGAACUGAGACACGGUCCAGACUCCUACGGGAGGCAGCAGUAGGGAAUCUUCCGCAAUGGGCGAAAGCCUGACGGAGCAACGCCGCGUGAGUGAUGAAGGUCUUCGGAUCGUAAAACUCUGUUAUUAGGGAAGAACAUAUGUGUAAGUAACUGUGCACAUCUUGACGGUACCUAAUCAGAAAGCCACGGCUAACUACGUG
rnacentral:rRNA from 1 species